CCCGAGGAAAAGAAAUCAACCGAGAUUCCCCCAGUAGCGGCGAGCGAACGGGGAGGAGCCCAGAGCCUGAAUCAGCAUGUGUGUUAGUGGAAGCGUCUGGAAAGGCGCGCGAUACAGGGUGACAGCCCCGUACACAAAAGCGCAUGUGCUGUGAGCUCGAUGAGUAGGGCGGGACACGUGGUAUCCUGUCUGAAUAUGGGGGGACCAUCCUCCAAGGCUAAAUACUCCUGACUGACCGAUAGUGAACCAGUACCGUGAGGGAAAGGCGAAAAGAACCCCGGCGAGGGGAGUGAAAAAGAACCUGAAACCGUGUACGUACAAGCAGUGGGAGCACAGGUUUACCUGUGUGACUGCGUACCUUUUGUAUAAUGGGUCAGCGACUUAUAUUCUGUAGCAAGGUUAACCGUAUAGGGGAGCCGGAGGGAAACCGAGUCUUAACCGGGCGUUAAGUUGCAGGGUAUAGACCCGAAACCCGGUGAUCUAGCCAUGGGCAGGUUGAAGGUUGGGUAACACUAACUGGAGGACCGAACCGACUAAUGUUGAAAAAUUAGCGGAUGACCUGUGGCUGGGGGUGAAAGGCCAAUCAAACCGGGAGAUAGCUGGUUCUCCCCGAAAGCUAUUUAGGUAGCGCCUCGUGAAUUCAUCUCCGGGGGUAGAGCACUGUUUCGGCUAGGGGGCCAUCCCGGCUUACCAACCCGAUGCAAACUGCGAAUACCGGAGAAUGUUAUCACGGGAGACACACGGCGGGUGCUAACGUCCGUCGUGAAGAGGGAAACAACCCAGACCGCCAGCUAAGGUCCCAAAGUCAUGGUUAAGUGGGAAACGAUGUGGGAAGGCCCAGACAGCCAGGAUGUUGGCUUAGAAGCAGCCAUCAUUUAAAGAAAGCGUAAUAGCUCACUGGUCGAGUCGGCCUGCGCGGAAGAUGUAACGGGGCUAAACCAUGCACCGAAGCUGCGGCAGCGACACUCAGGUGUUGUUGGGUAGGGGAGCGUUCUGUAAGCCUGUGAAGGUGGCCUGUGAGGGUUGCUGGAGGUAUCAGAAGUGCGAAUGCUGACAUAAGUAACGAUAAAGCGGGUGAAAAGCCCGCUCGCCGGAAGACCAAGGGUUCCUGUCCAACGUUAAUCGGGGCAGGGUGAGUCGACCCCUAAGGCGAGGCCGAAAGGCGUAGUCGAUGGGAAACGGGUUAAUAUUCCCGUACUUGGUGUUACUGCGAAGGGGGGACGGAGAAGGCUAUGUUGGCCGGGCGACGGUUGUCCCGGUUUAAGCGUGUAGGUGUGUGUUCCAGGUAAAUCCGGUUCACUUUAACACUGAGGCGUGACGACGAGGCACUACGGUGCUGAAGCAACAAAUGCCCUGCUUCCAGGAAAAGCCUCUAAGCAUCAGGUAACAUCAAAUCGUACCCCAAACCGACACAGGUGGUCAGGUAGAGAAUACCAAGGCGCUUGAGAGAACUCGGGUGAAGGAACUAGGCAAAAUGGUGCCGUAACUUCGGGAGAAGGCACGCUGACACGUAGGUGAAGUGAUUUACUCAUGGAGCUGAAGUCAGUCGAAGAUACCAGCUGGCUGCAACUGUUUAUUAAAAACACAGCACUGUGCAAACACGAAAGUGGACGUAUACGGUGUGACGCCUGCCCGGUGCCGGAAGGUUAAUUGAUGGGGUCAGCGCAAGCGAAGCUCCUGAUCGAAGCCCCGGUAAACGGCGGCCGUAACUAUAACGGUCCUAAGGUAGCGAAAUUCCUUGUCGGGUAAGUUCCGACCUGCACGAAUGGCGUAAUGAUGGCCAGGCUGUCUCCACCCGAGACUCAGUGAAAUUGAACUCGCUGUGAAGAUGCAGUGUACCCGCGGCAAGACGGAAAGACCCCGUGAACCUUUACUAUAGCUUGACACUGAACAUUGAGCCUUGAUGUGUAGGAUAGGUGGGAGGCUUUGAAGUGUGGACGCCAGUCUGCAUGGAGCCGACCUUGAAAUACCACCCUUUAAUGUUUGAUGUUCUAACGUGGACCCGUUACCCGGGUUGCGGACAGUGUCUGGUGGGUAGUUUGACUGGGGCGGUCUCCUCCUAAAGAGUAACGGAGGAGCACGAAGGUUGGCUAAUCCUGGUCGGACAUCAGGAGGUUAGUGCAAUGGCAUAAGCCAGCUUGACUGCGAGCGUGACGGCGCGAGCAGGUGCGAAAGCAGGUCAUAGUGAUCCGGUGGUUCUGAAUGGAAGGGCCAUCGCUCAACGGAUAAAAGGUACUCCGGGGAUAACAGGCUGAUACCGCCCAAGAGUUCAUAUCGACGGCGGUGUUUGGCACCUCGAUGUCGGCUCAUCACAUCCUGGGGCUGAAGUAGGUCCCAAGGGUAUGGCUGUUCGCCAUUUAAAGUGGUACGCGAGCUGGGUUUAGAACGUCGUGAGACAGUUCGGUCCCUAUCUGCCGUGGGCGCUGGAGAACUGAGGGGGGCUGCUCCUAGUACGAGAGGACCGGAGUGGACGCAUCACUGGUGUUCGGGUUGUCAUGCCAAUGGCACUGCCCGGUAGCUAAAUGCGGAAGAGAUAAGUGCUGAAAGCAUCUAAGCACGAAACUUGCCCCGAGAUGAGUUCUCCCUGAGACUUUAGGUCUCCUGAAGGAACGUUGAAGACGACGACGUUGAUAGGCCGGGUGUGUAAGCGCAGCGAUGCGUUGAGCUAACCGGUACUAAUGAACCGUGAGGCUUAACCUUACAACGCCG
rnacentral:rRNA from 1 species